AACGUAGGAGACAAACGUUAUCCGGAGUUACUAGGCGUAAAGGGCGUGCAGGUGGUCUGUUAAGUCUGGCGUGAAAGCUCUCGGCUAAACCGGGAGAGGUCGUUGGAUACUGGCGGACUAGAGGACGGUAGAGGCGUGUGGAAUUCCGGGUGUAGUGGUGAAAUGCGUAGAGAUCCGGAGGAACACCAGUGGCGAAGGCGACACGCUGGGCCGUACCUGACACUAAAACGCGACAGCAUGGGGAGCGAACGGG
rnacentral:rRNA from 1 species